AGCAUGUGGUUUAAUUCGAAGCAACGCGAAGAACCUUUACCAGGCCUUGACAUGCAGAGAACUUUCCAGAGAUGGAUUGGUGCCUUCGGGAACUCUGACUACAGGUGCUGCAUGGCUGUCGUCAGCUCGUGUCGUGAGAUGUUGGGUUAAGUCCCGCAACGAGCGCAACCCUUGUCAUUAGUUGCCAUCAUUUGGUUGGGCACUCUAAUGAGACUGCCGGUGACAAACCGGAGGAAGUGGGGAUGACGUCAAGUCCUCAUGGCCCUUAUGGGUAGGGCUUCACACGUCAUACAAUGGUCGGUACAGAGGGUUGCCAACCCGCGAGGGGGAGCUAAUCCCACAAAGCCGAUCGUAGUCCGGAUCGCAGUCUGCAACUCGACUGCGUGAAGUCGGAAUCGCUAGUAAUCGUGGAUCAGCAUGUCACGGUGAAUACGUUCCCGGGUCUU
rnacentral:rRNA from 1 species